UAUAUUUAUAAAUGUAUAACUUAAUGUACCUAUAUUUGUUUUUUGUUUUUUUAUAAAACUAAUGAUACUUUAGAUUAUUAUUAAUUCAUUUCGAACAGGCUUAAGUUUCUUAAGUUGCCCAUAUAAUGCAUAGUAUAGGUCUCAACUUUCAAAUUAACCUCAUGAAUUAGGAAUAGUCACUGUAAUGGAUGAGUUAAAUUUGAAUUCAAUGAUGAGUUGAGAAUAUACGUAGUGGUGAAAAGUUUUAAGAUUUUUAUUUUUUGAAUAACAUACAAUUAUAGGCUAAAUUAAAAUUGUUAAAGGUAAGAUAAUUAUUUCUUGUUUAAAUACCCAAUUUCGUCAAAUUAUGAAUUUAAAAAAAAAAUGACUUUAUUUUCAAUAUUAUUGAAAUGAUGGAGGACCAAAACAUUUUUCAAGUUUUAGUUAGUAAAAUUUAAAAUGUUAUCAACAUAUGAACUUAAUACGCUAAUAAAAGAAAUUUCUUAUAAAUUAUAUAACCAAUAGUAACAUGUAUUUUAUUUAAUAUAAUAUACGUCUUAUAAAUGUAGUCUCUCAAGCUGGUGUUAUAUUUUCUAAUAAAACAGUAUAAAAACAUAAAUUAAAGUGAAAGUAAAAAAAAAAAUUGUCAUUAAUAUUUGUAUGGGAUCUAUUCUAUUAGAACUUGUUGAUGACAAUCGGGCAGUAGUCUUUAAAUUAUAGUCUGUGUAUUGUGUGUGGGAAUUAACUCUUACCUUUGAUUUACGUGACGUUUUUUAGUUAAAUGUUGUUCCAUGAUAUUUUGAUCAUUAUUUGCAGUUAACUGAAAAAUUUAAAUAGCAAGUUAACUGAUGUAUUUUUGUCACAAGUUAUUCACAAAUCAUAAUUAGGUAGGUAGAUUAGAAUUUUCUCUUCGUAUCUUAAUUCUUAACUUGACCAUAAAAACGAUUUCAUGUAUAUUUUAUCGAUUGUUAUAAUGAAUGAUUGUUUUAUUUUUAAAUGUUAAAAAAUAUUUAAACUUUUUUAAUAAAAAAUGUCCCGAAAUACUUAUACAAGUUAAACAUGUAAAUGCACAGGAUUCACACAAUUGGCUAAUAAUGUUUUUAGUGAUUAUUUUAAAAGUUCAUAUUCAACAAAAAAUAGUGGUAAGUUUUCAAAUUAAAUUUAUUUUUAUUUUUUAUUAUCACUGACGACCUUACACAUACAAAUAUAAGUGCUUAACUAUGGAAUUGGCUAAACUAGAAAUCAUCUACCUUUAAGGAAAUUACCAUUGUGGGCAAUUAUUUACGAUGACAUUUUCAACUAAAUAUUUCUGUUCACUAAAUUUAAAAUUAAUAAUAUAUUGUGUAAUAUAAGUUAUAACUUAUUUAUUCUAUGGACUAUAUUAUAUAGACGACACGUUACUGCCUAAUGCUCUUAUUUGGUUAUUUGUCAGUACAUUCAAAACUCGUGAUUAAUUUAUGUACUUACAGUUUUUUGGCAAUGAAUGUUUCUAAAAAUGUAAAUUAAAUAAAUAUUUAAUUUAGUUACUUCCUUAUACAUCAAUAAAUAGUUAUAUGAUUAUAAUAUUUAUAUAAAUAUAUUGUUGUAGUUUAUUUUUAUGGAAAAUUGUUUUCCAUAAAUAAAUCUAUUAAUAGGCUAUAGCCCUAAAGACACUCGUUUCAUUUUAAUUAUACCUAGGUACCUAUUGUGUGAAAUAAGUAUCAUUUGAUACAUUUUGACCCCUCCAGUGAUUAAAAUCACAUCGUUUAUUGUUAUUAAUUUUUAUAUUGUGAAAAGUUAUAGGUUUAUCGUGAUUCAUGGGUAAUAAAAUAAUAUGCUGUUGGAAGGAGGGCGGGAGGGAAACACCUACUACACCCCUGCGUGGAUGACAUUUGAUUGUGUUCACCCGCUGACAUACCAUUAUAAGCAUCAGUCUUUCACUUAUACUUGCGGCUUGCAGACGUAUGAAAGUUGAUUGUUCGACCGUCAGCGUGCUUAGUUUUUUUGAUAGAAAUAAAUUAUUUAGAAAAAAUGAAAACCAUCGCGAUUUAAAUUUGGUUAAAAUGGAAGUUUAAUAAUAUACAAACGUUUGCUGUGUUGGUUAUUCUUGUAUAGAAGUAUUAUAAAAGUUUCAGAUAGCGAUUUAUAUGGUAUUAUGGUUGCAGGGACAUUAUGUUGGCAAAAUGUAAUUACUUACACGAAGCGUAUUACGAACGACGCUAUCCUGAUAUACAAUGUAUGUGUUUGGCCUUUAAAAAUGAUUUCCCCUACAUAUUAAGUCCACGUGUUUAUCUUACCCUACAAAAUGGUCCAUAAAACGUCAAAAUUACCCUAUUAAUUUUCUCAUCAAUUAUUUAAUAUCAAAUAAGAUUUUUACUUUUUUGGUGUCGGGUAAUUUUAUUUUAAAUCGUAACAUUUUAGUUAGUAUAAUUAUAUUUG